UGAGGAAUAUUGGUCAAUGGGCGAGAGCCUGAACCAGCCAAGUAGCGUGCAGGAUGACGGCCCUAUGGGUUGUAAACUGCUUUUAUAUGGGAAUAAAGUGAGGGACGUGUCCCUUAUUGCAUGUACCAUACGAAUAAGGACCGGCUAAUUCCGUGCCAGCAGCCGCGGUAAUACGGAAGGUCCAGGCGUUAUCCGGAUUUAUUGGGUUUAAAGGGAGCGUAGGCUGUUUGUUAAGCGUGUUGUGAAAUGUAGGAGCUCAACUUUUAGAUUGCAGCGCGAACUGGCAGACUUGAGUGCGCACAACGUAGGCGGAAUUCAUGGUGUAGCGGAGAAAUGCUUAGAUAUCAUGACGAACUCCGAUUGCGAAGGCAGCUUACGGGAGCGCAACUGACGCUAAAGCUCGAAGGUGCGGGUAUCGAACAGG
rnacentral:rRNA from 1 species